rnacentral:rRNA from 1 species
GAGGAAUAUUGGUCAAUGGACGCAAGUCUGAACCAGCCAUGCCGCGUGCAGGAUGACGGCUCUAUGAGUUGUAAACUGCUUUUGUACGAGGGUAAACGCAGAUACGUGUAUCUGUCUGAAAGUAUCGUACGAAUAAGGAUCGGCUAACUCCGUGCCAGCAGCCGCGGUAAUACGGAGGAUUCAAGCGUUAUCCGGAUUUAUUGGGUUUAAAGGGUGCGUAGGCGGUUUGAUAAGUUAGAGGUGAAAUUUCGGGGCUCAACCCUGAACGUGCCUCUAAUACUGUUGAGCUAGAGAGUAGUUGCGGUAGGCGGAAUGUAUGGUGUAGCGGUGAAAUGCUUAGAGAUCAUACAGAACACCGAUUGCGAAGGCAGCUUACCAAACUAUAUCUGACGUUGAGGCACGAAAGCGUGGGGAGCAAACAGGAUUAGAUACCCUGGUAGUCCACGCAGUAAACGAUGAUAACUCGUUGUCGGCGAUACACAGUCGGUGACUAAGCGAAAGCGAUAAGUUAUCCACCUGGGGAGUACGUUCGCAAGAAUGAAACUCAAAGGAAUUGACGGGGGCCCGCACAAGCGGAGGAACAUGUGGUUUAAUUCGAUGAUACGCGAGGAACCUUACCCGGGCUUGAAAGUUAGCGACGAUUCUUGAAAGAGGAUUUCCCUUCGGGGCGCGAAACUAGGUGCUGCAUGGUUGUCGUCAGCUCGUGCCGUGAGGUGUCGGGUUAAGUCCCAUAACGAGCGCAACCCCUACCGUUAGUUGCCAUCAGGUGAAGCUGGGCACUCUGGCGGGACUGCCGGUGUAAGCCGAGAGGAAGGUGGGGAUGACGUCAAAUCAGCACGGCCCUUACGUCCGGGGCUACACACGUGUUACAAUGGUAGGUACAGAGGGCAGCUACCCAGCGAUGGGAUGCGAAUCUCGAAAGCCUAUCUCAGUUCGGAUUGGAGGCUGAAACCCGCCUCCAUGAAGUUGGAUUCGCUAGUAAUCGCGCAUGAGCCAUGGCGCGGUGAAUACGUUCCCG